rnacentral:rRNA from 1 species
UACAGAGGGUGCAAGCGUUAAUCGGAAUGACUGGGCGUAAAGGGCACGUAGGCGGAUAUAUUAGUCAUAGGUGAAAUCCCCGGGCUUAACCUGGGAAGGUCCUGUGAAACUGUAUAUCUGGAAUAGAGUAGAGGUAAGUGGAAUUUCCGGUGUAGCGGUGAAAUGCGUAGAUAUCGGAAAGAACACCAGUGGCGAAGGCGACUUACUGGACUCAUAUUGACGCUGAGGUGCGAAAGCGUGGGGAGCAAACAGG